ensembl:lncRNA
AUGUUUGUAAAACACUCAUCAAAACUUACUGAGUUCUUUUAUUUCCAGCAUCAAAAUAUUAUUUUUGUUUAUGUGGCCCCAGGACUGAUGAAACUUGUACUGGUGCAAAAAUACAUCCCAGUCAUAACCAUUAGUCAUGAUUUCAGGAGAGUGGUAUUCGGUUCUCUUGGCCUCUGACUGCAGGGAAAAGAUAGAAGAAGAUGGAAGCAUGAGAGUUUUUGUCGAACACAUUGAUUACCUGGGGGACUCUUCUCUGACUUUUAAAUUGCAUGAAAUGUAAGUACAGCCUUUUUUUAGUUGGGGAAGCAAAAAUGGAAGCCUGGGUAUGGUCUUGAACACACACACAUGCACUGAUCCAGGACUUGAUGGAUCUGGGGCUUUUCCAGAUUCAGAGACAAGAGUCAGUAACAAGAAUAAAUUUAAUUGGAGUGGGGGAAGUGGGAGGUAGAGGGAUAUCAGAAUCAUAAGUAGUAUGACAAUAUAGCAUAGGUUAAGCAAACUGAACUUGGAACUAAUAGCCUGAAUUUGAAUCUUUCAGUUACCAGUUGUGUUACCAAGAAAACAAAUCUCUUUCCACCUCCCUUUCCUCAUGGGUAAAAGGGAAUGAGAAUAAUUCUUCCUCAUGUUUUUUUUUUUUUUCAGUUUUUGUUUUGGGGUGCGUGUGUGUGUGUGUGUGUGUGUGUGUGUACCAAGGCAGAUCAUAUUUGUAAAGCACUUACUUGAGAGGCUGGCAUGUGGUGAACACUCAGCUAAUGAUCUAGACAAGUAGUUGUAGUAAUAGCAACAGUGGAAAGUAGCAAUAGUGAUAGAAGUUGUCAUUUAAGUCAUUCUUAAUAUAUCAAAUCAUGUGAAAUAAUAUACAUAAAAGGUCUUUGAUAAUUGUACAAACAAAUGUUCAAAAGUCGAAUCAGAAACUCAAGUUACUGGUAGAGUAGAAGGUGAGCAAGUCAGCCUCAUCAAUAGCUCUUGGGCAUCAAUUUAUUGUUUUACAGUGAAAAUGGAACAUGUACUGAAAUUAAUUUGGCUUGUAAACCAACAGAAAAGAAUGCCAUAUGUAGCGCUGACUGUAAGUAUUUUUUUAAGUCUUUCUAAAUUGUACUCCCAACUGCAAGGAAUUUACUAAACCCCAGUAUCUUCAGGAUCUUGAUCAAUUUCUGAUCAAUGACUAUUUUGGUAAUAAAAUGGGGGCCAUCUAAUAGCCAAUAACCUGAAUUUGGGAGAACCUUUCAUGUAAAAGCCAGUGCCUGCCACAUAAUACAAUCAGCCUCAGGAAGGUGACUUGGUCAUAUGCACCUCCUGCAACAAAAGUUACUUGGCAGGGCAAAAAAUAUAAAUUGGGGCCGGGCAUGGUAGCUCAUACCUGUAAUCCCAGCACUUUGGGAGGCCAAGGCAGGGGGGAUCACCUGAGGUCAGGAGUUCGAGACCAGCCUGACCAACAUGGCAAAACCCUGUCUCUAUUAAAAAUACAAAAAUUAGCUGGGCAUCAUGGCGCACACCUGUGAUCCCAGCUACUCGGGAGGCUGAGGCAGGAGAACGGCUUGAACCCUGAAGGAGGAGGUUUCAGUGAGCCAAUAUUGCGCCACUGCACUCCAGCCUGGGUAACAAAGCGAGACCUUGUCUUAAAAAAAAAAAAAGUAAAUUGGCAGGACAGCUUCUUAUUCUCUGCCUGGCUUUCUGAUGCCUGAUGGUCAUCGCCACAGCACAUUGUUCAGGAUGUAGCAUCAAGUAAGUAAUGCCAGUGGGGUUUCUAGAGAGGACAGAGACACAUCACUGACAGAGAUGCUGCUGGAGGUGGGUAGGUCUGGCGGGGGGGUGGAUAUUAAAGGCUGAGUUGCUGCUGGGGCUAAAUUUUUUUGACUACUAGUGAUCAACCUACCCUUUUCUCAGAAUUUGCCUCAUGAAGCCCAGGGCGAUGCAAAUGGAAGACAUUCAGCAUCCUCACUAUCUCUAAUGGGAUACGCACUUGAACUUGUGUCAUGGGAAAGAACAGGUAAAGGGUUUCAACUGCUUUCUAUGGAUCAAAGGAGUUCUGAACUGUGUUCUGUU